rnacentral:sRNA from 1 species
UCUGGGCUUACUCACCACCGGCCCACAGGAGAGUUUGAUGAAGCAACCCAGAACUCUCAUCGGAAGGAGGUUUUAUAGGAAACGGAAGCCCUCUCUAACUUUGGCCGUUGACUCUUUGACCAAUCUGGUCAGCAUAAAAACAGCAUUCUUCUUUGAUGGCUGCACAUAGCCCUCCCUGAUGCAAAAACAGGAGAUCCAGCCCCCUCCUAUUUUGGAGUACUGCCUUUGCCGGGGAACCCAGAGAAUCUUGGAGCCCCUGGUAUUGCGUCUAGUCAUGGUGAUGAGGUCCUUACUGGGAGGCCUCCAGUGAGCCAUGGAUUAGACAUGGGGUAAGAACUACAAAAGCAAGCAUCACCCCGGGAUGAUGUUUGGGUUGAGUUACUGGCUGGCUGGUCAGACCACUCAAUGAAAUGAGAA